AGGACGAACGCUGGCGGCGUGCUUAACACAUGCAAGUGGGGCGACGAACCAGGCUUCGGCCUGGGGCAAAGCCGCGAACGGGUGAGUAACACGUGGAUAACCUGCCCCGAAGACCGGGACAACCCGGGGAAACCCGGGCUAAUACCGGAUGUGGUCACCGUCCAUAAGGACGAUGAGCAAAGGAAGCUUCGGCCUCCGCUUCGGGAGGGUCCGCGGCCCAUUAGCUUGUUGGUGAGGUAACGGCUCACCAAGGCAACGAUGGGUAGCUGGUCUGAGAGGACGAUCAGCCACACUGGGACUGAGACACGGCCCAGACUCCUACGGGAGGCAGCAGUGGGGAAUCUUGCGCAAUGCGCGAAAGCGUGACGCAGCAACGCCGCGUGGUGAAGAAGGCUUCGGGUCGUAAAGCCCUUUCAGCAGGGACGAAGC
rnacentral:rRNA from 1 species